rnacentral:rRNA from 1 species
UUUAUCAAAAACAUGGCUAUCAGAAGAUGUUUAUAGUCUGGCCUGCUCACUGACAUGGAGAUGUUUAAGAGCCGCGGUAUUCUGACCGUGCAAAGGUAGCAUAAUCAUUAGUUUUUUAAUUGGAAACUUGUAUGAAUGGUCGGACAAAAGAAAAACUGUCUCUAUUUUAAUAAUUGAAAUUAACUUUUAAGUGAAAAGGCUUAAAUUUUUCAGUGGGACGAUAAGACCCUAUAAAGCUUUAUAUUUUAUUUAAAUUUAAUUGAAUUAUUAGUAAAUUAUAAAAAUUUAGUUUGGAUUAUAGUAUUUUGUUGGGGCGACAUGUAUAUAAAUAUUAUAACUGUAUAAAGGAAAAGUCAUUAAUGGGUGAAUUAAUAAAUUUAAAUGAUCCCUUAUAAGGAUUAUAAGAUUAAGUUACUUUAGGGAUAACAGCGUAAUUUUUUUUGAGAGUUCUUAUCGAAAGAAAAGUUUGCGACCUCGAUGUUGAAUUAAAAUGUCUUUAUAGUGUAGCCGCUAUAUAUAGAAGGUCUGUUCGACCUUUAAAAU